rnacentral:rRNA from 1 species
CAAAUUUUAAAUCACCUAGGUUACCUGGGCGAGUUGUAAUUUGAAGAAAGUGUUUUGAUGCUCUGGUUUUGUCUAAAUCCUUUGGGAUAAGGUAUCAUAGAGGGUGAGAAUCCCGUUCAUGAUUUAAACCCUGGGUGUCACCUAAUUCACUUUCUAAGAGUCGAGUUGUUUGGGAUUGCAGCUCAAAAUGGGUGGUAAAUUUCACCUAAGGCUAAAUAUAUGCAAGAGACCGAUAGCGAACAAGUACCGUGAGGGAAAGAUGAAAAGAACUUUGAAAAGAGAGUUAAAUAGUACGUGAAAUUGUUGAAAGGGAAACGAUUGAAGUCAGUCAUGCUUGCAGGGAAUCAGCAAUGGUGGUUUAUUCUUCCUUGUGCACUUUCUUGCUUGGCAGGUUAGCAUCAAUUUCGAUUGUCAUUAAAGAAUUGGGGGAAUGUGGCUUCUUCGGGAGUGUUAUAGACCCUGGUAGAUGUGGCGAUCGGGAUUGAGGAUUGCAGCGAAUGCUUUUUGGCUAGUCACCUGGCUUCUGAUAGUCGCCUUGCUUCCGAUAGCUUGCUAAUAGUGGUGAGACUCGAUUGUCUAGAAGUUAG